GCGCUCGUAGCUCAGCUGGAUAGAGCAUCGGAUUUCGAUUCCGAGGGUCGGAGGUUCGAAUCCUUCCGAGCGCG
rfam:Bradyrhizobium sp. Leaf396 contig_8, whole genome shotgun sequence.